rnacentral:ncRNA from 21 species
AUAAGUACCGGGAAUGAAGUUCUCCCUUAGUCUGACUAGAACCGCUUAUAAAGCUGAUGACUUCUGCAUUAUG